CAAAGUCAUUUUUAAGCUCAGCGAUUUUUAACCGGUGUAUUGCAAGAAUUUUUAAACCAUGCAAUACCUGACUAUUUAGUCAGAGGCACUGACCUCUUGUCUCUCAGAUUGUCAAA